rnacentral:rRNA from 1 species
UACGAAGGGGGCUAGCGUUGUUCGGAAUUACUGGGCGUAAAGCGCAUGCAGGCGGACUUUUAAGUCGGGGGUGAAAUCCCGAGGCUCAACCUCGGAACUGCCUUCGAUACUGGAAGUCUUGAGUCCGGGAGAGGUGAGUGGAACUCCGAGUGUAGAGGUGAAAUUCGUAGAUAUUCGGAAGAACACCAGUGGCGAAGGCGGCUCACUGGCCCGGUACUGACGCUGAGAUACGAAAGCGUGGGGAGCAAACAGG